UGCAAACUCCGCCCCCCGGGUUCAAGCGAUUCUUCUGCCUCAGCCUCCCGAGUAGCUGGGAUUGCAGGCGCACGCACACCCCUGCCAGCCGUUUUGAUAGCUACCACUAAAUACAUUUUAAGCACCUGCUCUUCUCAUCACUGGACCUAUAAAGUGGCAUUAAUCAUCAGGAGUCCACCAGAAUUGGGAAGUCAUGUAUGCUGCAAAGUGCAUUCCAAAGUAUUAAAAUAUUCUUGCCUUA